GACAGAGGGUGCAAACGUUGUUCGGAAUUACUGGGCGUAAAGCGAGUGUAGGCGGUGUGGUAAGUCGGAUGUGAAAGCCCCGGGCUCAACCCGGGAAGUGCACUCGAUACUGCCACGCUAGAGUAUCGGAGAGGUUGGUGGAAUUCUCGGUGUAGAGGUGAAAUUCGCAGAUAUCAGGAGGAACACCCGUGGCGAAAGCGGCUCUCUGGGACGGUACUGACGCUGAGACGCGAAAGCGUGGGGAGCAAACAGG
rnacentral:rRNA from 1 species